AGACUCGGCGCCCGCGGCGAGCGGGAAGGAGGCGUGUGCCUGCGGCGCGGCCCCGAGGCGUGUGCGCGGCCAUGUGCGCUUAGCGCAGCGCGCUCUUCCCUCAGUACCCCGGCCACGACCCUCCGAGCCCCUGGAGCCCGGGUAACCAGGCCGCCGGCGCCGGCUCGCGGGGACCCGCCACCCUGGAAGCCCCGCGCACACAGCGCAUUCCUGGCGAGUCGGAGGUAAAGUGAACAGAGUUAUCUGUGACAUUCCAUCAGGCACCUAUGUAACGAAAUCAUACCGUAAUAACUCACCAUGGCGUAUGGAGUGCCAAGAAAGAACACAGUGAAAACCAUUUUGCGGGGCAGUUGUUAUAAUGUGGUCUCACACUAUCACGCAGGCUGGAAUGUUGUGCACCUCCUGGGCUUGAGUGAUCCUCCCACCUCAGCCUCCUGAGUAGCUGGGACCACAGGCACACACCACUGUGCCCGGAACCUUGGGAUAUUGCACUGCUUGCAAAGACCUGGUACACGAACCUAGCCAAUAUCAAGUUGCCUUUCUUGGAAGAAAUUUCAUUUGGUGGUUCUGUGCAGCUCACAAAAU
rnacentral:sRNA from 1 species